AGAAACUUUAAAAAGAGGGCGCUUGCUCUGACCUUGUUUGAGGGUGAGAGAUGCAUAAACACGCAGGAGAGAGUGAGCGAGUGGAGUCCGGUUCUUCAAAGCAACUGUAAACUUCCCUCACCACAACGUAAGGCCCGCCUCUCCCCUCAUUCGAUUGGACAAUGGAAGACGCGAAUGACGUCAGGCGCUUUCUCCGCUCUCAGCGCUCCUUCAAAAACGCGUGCGCGACAGGCGGCAGAAAACCGCAAGGCGCUCGGCGCGCAUAAACAGCGCGCAAACGCGCCCUGCCCAUAGAAUAUCAUUCAAAAAAGGCGCCUGCAACUGCCAUAAACGCUUUUGGUGUGACUGAGCCCUUAGAGAAGAAAAUGGACAUCAGACAUUUAGUGAAGAAAGCUGACAGUCAACAUAAUGAUGAGAGCUGUGUUAUACAAUGUUAAGGAUACUCGUUCAUCUUCUGCUGUGUGAAUUCUGCUGUGUCAGUCCUGUGGGACUUGAUGCCGGCUGGUACCAGUGUGACGUCUUUGCUUACUAAAUGAUCAAAGGGUGUCUGAAAUCAGCUCAGCCACAGUUGGUUUCCAGCGGUUCUUCAGGACAUGGAGGCCACUACGUAACUGUUGCAAUGAACGAUUAUUUUGCCUUUCCACCUGAUGUUGACAAUCUGACCUGUGCGGUACUGAAAACAACUUACACUGAAAUAUAUCUUAAAAUAUAUCAGUGCCCUUUGUUUUGCCUCAAAAUGCACACCAGUAAUGUUUUUUGUUGAAACCAGUUAUAUUUCCUAAUUAAACUAAGGCCUAGUCCUGGAUUAAGCUAAUCCCCUGUCCGGGAAACCGCCCCUAAAUGUUUUGUGACGGAAAUUUCUUUGAAUACACUUGUCAAGUUCAUUUUAAGUAUUUUUCUAAAUGUAAGAUAACAUGUUAAUGUUUCAGGACAAGUUAAAAUUUUUUGAUAACUUGCAUUGUUGAAAACGAUUUCAGACAUUGUUCUAUUCAACAUGUUUAACACAGUUGCUUUUAAAUUCAGUGUUUUAAAACGUAUCAAUGUAAUGUAUGUUUGAAGUAAUUAUACUUGCACUUACAUUUAUUUAAAUUAGCAUACAUCUAGCAACAUAAAGUAGGCUACUAGCAUAUUUUCAUGCAAGCAUUAAUUGUCAAAUAUUUGUUAUUUUACAAAU